rnacentral:snRNA from 1 species
GGAUGUGAGGGUGAUCUGGCUGUGACAUCUGUCACCCCGUUGAUCACCAGGGUUGAUUCCACUGACCUGGCUGGCUAGGUGGGUAUCCCCUUCCUCCCUCACCUUGGUCAAAGAGGAUGGCCUUCCCCGAAUAGAGAUGAACCAGUCUUUGGUCGAGGGUAUAUGAGUAGCUGCGCUCCCCUGCUAGAACCUCCAAAGAAAUCAUACUAAGAUAAUAGUGUUUGAGUAUAAUCACCUAGUGCCAGAAAUAGGAAGAUGAAAACCAACAGAGUAAUAAAAUUAUUUUACAAAAGUCUGUGUGU